GUCGAACGCAACCUUCGGGUUGAGUGGCGGACGGGUGAGUAACGCGUGAGAAUCUGCCUGAGGGUCGGGGACAACGACUGGAAACGGUGGCUAAUACCGGAUAAGCCUUUGGGUAAAAGAUUUAUUGCCCCAAGAGGAGCUCGCGUCUGAUUAGCUAGUUGGUGAGGUAAAAGCUCACCAAGGCAGCGAUCAGUAGCUGGUCUGAGAGGACGAUCAGCCACACUGGGAUUGAGACACGGCCCAGACUCCUACGGGAGGCAGCAGUGGGGAAUUUUCCGCAAUGGGCGAAAGCCUGGCGGAGCAAGACCGCGUGAGGGAGGAAGGCUCUUGGGUUGUAAACCUCUUUUCUCAGGGAAGAAGCUCUGACGGUACCUGAGGAAUCAGCCUCGGCUAACUCCGUGCCAGCAGCCGCGGUAAUACGGAGGAGGCAAGCGUUAUCCGGAAUUAUUGGGCGUACAGCGUCCGCAGGUGGCGAUUCAAGUCUGCUGUCAAAGCACGGGGCUUAACUCCGUUAAGGCAGUGGAAACUGAAUAGCUAGAGUGCCGUAGGGAUAAAGGGAAUUCCCGGAGUAGCGGUGACAUGCGUAGAGAUCGGGAAGAACAUCGGUGG
rnacentral:rRNA from 1 species